rnacentral:rRNA from 1 species
GGCAGUAAGUUAAUACCUUGCUGUUUUGACGUUACCGACAGAAUAAGCACCGGCUAACUCUGUGCCAGCAGCCGCGGUAAUACAGAGGGUGCAAGCGUUAAUCGGAAUUACUGGGCGUAAAGCGCGCGUAGGUGGUUCGUUAAGUUGGAUGUGAAAGCCCCGGGCUCAACCUGGGAACUGCAUCCAAAACUGGCGAGCUAGAGUACGGUAGAGGGUGGUGGAAUUUCCUGUGUAGCGGUGAAAUGCGUAGAUAUAGGAAGGAACACCAGUGGCGAAGGCGACCACCUGGACUGAUACUGACACUGAGGUGCGAAAGCGUGGGGGAGCAAACAGGAUUAGAUACCCUGGUAGUCCACGCCGUACACGAUGUCAACUAGCCGUUGGAAUCCUUGAGAUUUUACUGGCGCAGCUCACGCAUUAAGUUGACCGCCUGGGGAGUACGGCCGCAGGGUUAAAACUCAAUGAAUUGACGGGGGCCCG